rnacentral:rRNA from 1 species
AUACGUAGGGGGCUAGCGUUAUCCGGAAUUACUGGGCGUAAAGGGUGCGUAGGUGGUUUCUUAAGUCAGAAGUGAAAGGCUACGGCUCGACCGUAGUAAGCUUUUGAAACUAAGAGACUUGAGUGCAGGAGAGGAGAGUAGAAUUCCUAGUGUAGCGGUGAAAUGCGUAGAUAUUAGAAGGAAUACCAGUUGCGAAGGCGGCUCUCUGGACUGUAACUGACACUGAGGCACGAAAGCGUGGGGAGCAAACAGGAUUAGAUACCCUGGUAGUCCACGCCGUAAACGAUGAGUACUAGCUGUCGGGGGUUACCCCCCUCGGUGGCGCAGCUAACGCAUUAAGUACUCCGCCUGGGAAGUACGCUCGCAAGAGUGAAACUCAAAUGAAUUGACGGGG